rnacentral:rRNA from 1 species
CUCCUACGGGUGGCAGCAGUAGGGAAUCUUGCACAAUGGACGAAAGUCUGAUGCAGCGACGCCGCGUGAGUGAUGAAGGCCUUCGGGUUGUAAAGCUCUGUUGUCAGGGAAUAAAAAAAUGAAGGUACCUGACGAGAAAGGACCGGCUAACUUCGUGCCAGCAGCCGCGGUAAGACGGGGGGUCCAAGCGUUGUUCGGAAUUAUUGGGCGUAAAGCGGGCGUAGGUGGCUAUGUAAGUCAGGAGUGAAAGCCCUGGGCUCAACCCAGGAAGUGCUUUUGAUACUGCAUAGCUUGAAUGUGGGAGAGGAUAGUGGAAUUCCAGGUGUAGUGGUGAAAUACGUAGAUAUCUGGAGGAACACCGGUGGCGAAGGCGGCUAUCUGGCCCAACAUUGACACUGAGGCCCGAAAGUGUGGGGAUCAAACAGGAUUAGAUACCCUUGUAGUCU